UACGGAGGGUGCAAGCGUUAUCCGGAUUCACUGGGUUUAAAGGGUGCGUCGGCGGGCCGGUAAGUCCGUGGUGAAAUCUCCGAGCUUAACUCGGAAACUGCCGUUGAUACUAUUUGUCUUGAAUACUGUGGAGGUAAGCGGAAUAUGUCAUGUAGCGGUGAAAUGCUUAGAUAUGACAUAGAACACCAAUUGCGAAGGCAGCUUACUACGCAGUUAUUGACGCUGAGGCACGAAAGCGUGGGGAUCAAACAGG
rnacentral:rRNA from 1 species